GUCAACUACCCAGCACGGAAGUGACUGGGCUUCUGACCUAAAACUUCAGUUGUAGUUGACUAGCCUAAGACUUUAGAGGUCUACGUUUUUUGAGUUAUGACACCAAGCGGCUGCUUAGCUAGUCCCUUGCUCUGUCGUUAACGGUUAAACAUCUUUAUUUGGGUUAAGGACGUGCCGUUAGCCGAACAAGCUCACUAAACAAAGGCGCGUGCUAACACUAC
rfam:Oscillatoria nigro-viridis PCC 7112, complete genome.